rnacentral:sRNA from 1 species
UUUUAGCCCUGAUCGAAACGGCAUCCUUUUGUACUCCGGCCGAGGAGUACAAAAGAUACAGUGAAGAGCAGGAAAUAGC